ACCGAAUUUUCCAUCACAACACAACCAUAGGGAAUCCCUUUACCCUCUUUUAGAAAAUUUGUAUAUAUUCUGAUUAUAGGUUUUUUAUUGGUGCAAUCUUCUUAAUACUUUUUAUUAGCACCUUAAAUUAAAUUGUUCACUUUAUAUUGACAUUUAAAUUGAUUUUGACGUUUAAUUUUCACAUGAAACACUAGCUGAUGGUGUAAUCCUUGGAUUUAGGCAUUGUUGAAUUUGUGCAGAGUCUGAUACGGGUGAAGAAUUAAUAUGAAUCAACAAGCAGAUAUUCCAGGGCACAUAUCUAGACAGGUACCCAAUCAAGCAGGGUCUCAGUUGCCUGGACAGACUCAACUGAAUGUGAAUGCCCUCCCAGCACAGAUGCCAUCUUUAGGCGGAUCAGCAAUUAAUACGGAAUUUCUUAGAGCACGCACACUUAUCCGAGAUAGGAUCUAUGAGAUGUUAUUGCAACGGCAUGCAAUACCAGUUAGUGAAAUGCAGAAAAGGAGGAUCAAGGAUCUUUCAAAAUGCCUGGAGGAGGGCCUGUUAAAAGAUUCUCUCUCUAAGGAGGACUACAUGAACUUGGAUACACUACAGAGUCGUUUAACUAAUUUCCUCCGACAAGCAGCUAUGUGUAAUCACAACAAACAGAAUCCCCAGCUUGUUAGCUCUUCUCCCAUGUGUACAAUGACAUCAACCCCUGGUAUGUCGCAUGGUUCAAAUUCAAGCAUGGCGGUUGCAUCUUCUACAGACGCCUCGAUGAUUUUUUCCAGUGGGUGUCAUCGCAUAGUAUCAACCUCUUUCAAUAGUGUAAAUAUGUUACCAACAGGUGGCAUGGUUUGCAGUUCCAAAGAUCACAAAGAUGAACAUGUUCCAGGGCAGAUAUUCAGAGAGGUACCCAAUCAAGCAGGGUCCCUGGACAAACCCAACUGACUGGGAAUGUCCUCCCAUCACAAAUGUUAUCUUUAGGCGGAUCAACAAUUAAUAUGGACCCUGAAGAAUUUCUUAGAGCACGCUCAUUUAUUCAAGAGAGGAUAUUGUAAAAAAUGUAGUGUUCAUUGCAGUGGUAUUUGUGACUUGCUUGACAACAUUGAGCUUUGUGAUCUUAAUGCAACGGCAUCAGCAGCCAAUUAAUGAAAUGCAGAAAAGGAGGAUUAAGAAUCUUUCAAAACACUUGGAGGAGGGCAUGUUAAAAGCUUCUCUCACUAUGAAGGACUACAUGAGCUUGCGUACACUAGAGAGUCAUUUAUCCAUUUUCCUCCGACGAGCAACUAUGCUUGGAAGUUCCAAAGCCCACAACGAUGUAAGCACCAAGAAGGUGUUACAAACUAAAACUCUCAAGGAUAUUCCAGCAACCACCUUUCCCACUGGUGAUCAUGUUGAGCCUCCUCCAAAACAAACAUUAGUUAAACAAGUAAUCGUGGCACUUCCUUCUCGAUCUCCUAUUUUGACAGAGAGUAAUCAAUUGAAAGAUGAGGCAGUUGUUGUUUCCCAAAAUGCCAUUGAAGUUGAUGUUGAAAAUGUGCAAACACCUGUAAAAAAUGACGUCCAUUAACAAACAUCUGGCACCAAGGGUUUAGUCGUCAAUGACAAUUUGACAAUUUCUUCCUACCCUGCUCCAAAACAUGCAAAAAUUCAAGACAAAAGGAAUUUCAAUUUGCUUCUUUACAUAGCACCAAAACAUAUGAGGAUUAUGUCAAGAUAUACGAACAAGGAAGUUUUUCUUUGCACUAUCUUUUCUGUUGCAAGCAUUUCGCACAUAUCGGGUUUAUCGUUUCGAAUAUUCACCAUUAAUGGCUCUCAAUAGUUCAUCACUUUUGAAGUUUGUCGGUGCGCAUACAAUUAAUUUGGGUAGAAUCAUUUCCAAUGAUCGGUCUUUUGAAUAUUCACCAUUAACGUUUUGAUUCAACGUAUUUUACAGUGGUAUUUACGACUUGCUUGACAACAUUGAGACACAUUUCUUUGUCUUCAGCUAUAUAGUUAUUGCUUAACUUUGAACUUGCAAGGCCAUUCUGUCAAAGUUAUUGAUUAGGAUCACUGCAGUAUAUAUAUAUAUCAUUGAGUCAAUUACAUUACUCUUUGCCUAUUAUUGUUCCACCUCCUUUGGUUUCUUGAUUGAGAUACAAUAUAAUAAGUGCGUAAGAUAUGUCAUGAUAUUCUUUUUCGAUCUAACAAUAAUAGAUAUUUUACAUUUUACCUUUCCAGCUUUGUGAUCUUAAUGCAACGGCAUCAACAGCCAAUUACUGAAAUGCAGAAAGGGAAGAUUACAGAUCUUUCAAAACGCCUGGAUGAGGGCCUGUUCAAAGCUGCUCUCACGAAGGAUGACUACAUGAACUUGGAUACACUAGAGAGUCGUUUAUCUAAUUUCCUCCGACAAGCAACUAUGCAUGGAAGUUCCAAAGCUCACAAAACUGUAAGCACCAAGAAGGUGUUGCCAUUAUCUACUAAAGCUCCUAAGGAUAUUCCAGCAACCACCUUUUCCACUAGUGAUCAUGUUGAGCCUCCUCCAAAACAAACAUUAAUCAGACAAGUUAUUGUGGCACUUCCUUCUCGAUCUCCUAUUUUGACAGAAAGUAAUCGAUUGAGAGAUGAGGCAGUUGAUGUUUCCCAGAAUGCCAUUGAAGUUGAUGUUGAAAAUGUGCAGUCACCUGUAAAAAAUGAAUGAUGUCCUUUGACAAACAUCUGGCACCAAGGGUUUAGUCGUCAAACACAAUUUGACAAUUUCUUCCUCCCGUGCUCCAACACAUGGUGCAGAAAUGGAGUAUUAGAGUUUAAAAUCAUGCAUUUUUCUUCUUUUUGCCUUUUCCUUAUCAUAGCAAAAAUUCAAGACAAAUGAAAUUUCAAUUUUUACCUUUAUCAUUCAACAAAGUGAUUCUUCGUAUUGUA